GAACCAUCUGGAUUGUUAUAGGCGCAAAGUGUAAGCUCGGGUUGGUUAGUGGCUGUGCAGGCAACUUGAGGGUUGCAGGUUCGAUUCCCGCUUCCGCCAUCCUAGUCACCUGCCGUUGUGUCCUUGGGCAAGACACUUUACCCAACCGCUCCAUUGCCACCUACACUGGUUUAAAUGUAACUUAGAUAUUGGGUUUCACUAUGUAAAGCGCUUUGAGUCACUAGAAAAAGAGCUAUAUAAAUAUAAUUCACACGUGUGACGGUAUGGGGGUGUAUUAGUGCCCAAGGCAUGGGUAACUUACACAUCUGUGAAGGCACCAUUAAUGUUGAAAGGUCCAUACAGGUUUUGGAGCAACAUAUGUUGCCAUAUCAUGGGCGCCCCUGCUUAUUUCAGCAAGACAAUGCCAAGCCAUGUGUUACAACAGCGUGGCUUCGUAGUAAAAGAGUGUAGUCCAGACCAGUCUCCCAUUGAAAAUGUGUGGCGCAUUAUGAAGCCUAAAAUAUCACAACGGAGACCACCCGGACUGUUGAAGGACUGAAGCAACUUGAGGGUUGCAGGUUCGAUUCCCGCUUCCGCCAUCCUAGUCACUGCCGUUGUGUCCUUGGGCAAGACACUUUACCCACCUGCUCCCAGUGCCACCCACACUGGUUUAAAUGUAACUUAGAUAUUGGGUUUCACUAUGUAAAGCGCUUUGAGUCUCUAGAGAAAAGCGCUAUUUAAAUAUAAUUCACAUUUGUGACGGUAUGGGGGGUGUAUUAGUGCCCAAGGCAUGGGUAACUUGAACAUCUGUGAAGGCACCAUUAAUGCUGAAAGGUCCAUACAGGUUUUGGAGCAACAUAUGUUGCCAUAUCAUGGGCGCCCCUGCUUAUUUCAGCAAGACAAUGCCAAGCCAUGUGUUACAACAGCGUGGCUUCGUAGUAAAAGAGUGUAGUCCAGACCAGUCUCCCAUUGAAAAUGUGUGGUGCAUUAUGAAGCCUAAAAUACCACAACGAACGACUGAAGCUCUACAUAAAACAAGAAUUGGAAAGAAUUCCACUCUCAAAGCUUCAACAAUUACUUUCCUCAGUUCCCAAACGUUUAUUGAGUGUUGUUAAAAGGAAAGGUGAUGCAACACAGUGGUGAACAUACCCUUUCCCAACUACUUUGGCACGUGUUGCAGCCAUGAAAUUCAACGUUAAUGAUUAUUUGCAAAAAAGAAAAUAAAGUUUAUGAGUUUGAACAUAAAAAAUGUUGUCUUUGUCGCAUAUUCAACUGAAUAUGGCUUGAAAAGGAUUUGCAAAUAUUCUGUUUAUAUUUACAUCAAACACAAUUUCCCAACUCCUAUGGAAACGGGCUUUGUAUAUUUGGACUUUGCAGCACCGCAACGCCGGUUUUGUUCCUUUUGAGAACGGUCCUCAGGCUUCGCCAACCCGCCGCCGUAUUUUUAUUUCGCCCGCAAACGUAUCUUUUUAGAUCUUCUUUCUAAAGCAGCAUAACCAGUCGGCCUAUAUAGCCUUUUAUUUUCGUAUAUAUAUUUUUUGGGGGAUGACUUGCAUGAUUUGCUAACAUUUGAAAGGAUGCAAACAUGAACAGGGCGGUGGCCUUUAAAUCAUUUGUUGUAUUAUUCUCGUUAUGCAUCAGGAUGUAUUUUAUCGAGUGGUGUAUUUAUAAUAAAACGGUGGAAAGGAAUUCGGUUGCGACUCUGCGCUAUGUAAAUAAAGAGAAGUAAAAGCCA